AUUGAACGCUGGCGGCAUGCUUUACACAUGCAAGUCGGACGGCAGCACAGAGAAGCUUGCUUCUUGGGUGGCGAGUGGCGCACGGGUGAGUAAUAUAGCGGAACGUACCGAGUAAUGGGGGAUAACUAAUCGAAAGAUUAGCUAAUACCGCAUAUUCUCUGAGGAGGAAAGCAGGGGACCUUCGGGCCUUGCGUUAUUCGAGCGGCCGAUAUCGGAUUAGCUAGUUGGUGGGGUAAAGGCCUACCAAGGCGACGAUCAGUAGCGGGUCUGAGAGGAUGAUCGGCCACACUGGGACUGAGACACGGCCCAGACUCCUACGGGAGGCAGCAGUAGGGAAUUUUGGACAAUGGGCGCAAGCCUGAUCCAGCCAUGCCGCGUGAGUGAAGAAGGCCUUCGGGUUGUAAAGGACUGUUGUCAGGGAAGAACAGGCUGCGGCUAAUACCGACAGAUCAUGACGGUACCUGACGAAUAAGCACCGGCUAACUACGUG
rnacentral:rRNA from 1 species